UGUGCGCUCGUCAUUUGCCGUCAUCGCGCGGAGAUAUUUGCGCUGGAUGUCUUUCACUUCGUGUACAAAACUCUGCACGCUGCGGCAUCGAAGAAGUUGUCCUGUGUUUGGGUGCACGUAUGCGCUUGGACACGGAUAGCCUGCUUGCUCUCAACGGGUGUUCAACAGUCUACGCGCGCUCGUAACUUGCUCAUGAGGCAAGUUGCUGUUGUGCUGGAGCUGAGAAGAGGUCUGCCGCCUGCAAUGGGUCCAUCUCUCUCAAGUUAUUGCAGUAUUGUAGCUCACAAGGUUCAAAAAAAGUAUGGUGGAAGCUGUUGCCAAGGUUCCGG